rnacentral:rRNA from 1 species
UGGGGAAUUUUGGACAAUGGGCGAAAGCCUGAUCCAGCAAUGCCGCGUGUGUGAAGAAGGCCUUCGGGUUGUAAAGCACUUUUGUCCGGAAAGAAAUCCUUGGCUCUAAUACAGUCGGGGGAUGACGGUACCGGAAGAAUAAGCACCGGCUAACUACGUGCCAGCAGCCGCGGUAAUACGUAGGGUGCAAGCGUUAAUCGGAAUUACUGGGCGUAAAGCUGCGCAGGCGGUUUGCUAAGACCGAUGUGAAAUCCCCGGGCUCAACCUGGGAACUGCAUUGGUGACUGGCAGGCUAGAGUAUGGCAGAGGGGGGUAGAAUUCCACGUGUAGCAGUGAAAUGCGUAGAGAUGUGGAGGAAUACCGAUGGCGAAGGCAGCCCCCUGGGCCAAUACUGACGCUCAC